rnacentral:rRNA from 1 species
CCUACGGGAGGCAGCAGUGAGGAAUAUUGGUCAAUGGCCGGAAGGCUGAACCAGCCAAGCCGCGUGAGGGAGGAAGGCGCAGAGCGUCGCAGACCUCUUUUGCCGGGGGACAAAAGGCCGGACGGGUCCGGUUCUGAGGGUACCCGGAGAAAAAGCAUCGGCUAACUCCGUGCCAGCAGCCGCGGUAAUACGGAGGAUGCGAGCGUUAUCCGGAUUCAUUGGGUUUAAAGGGUGCGUAGGCGGAUUUUUAAGUCAGCGGUAAAAUGUCCGGGCUCAACCCGGGCCGGCCGUUGAAACUGGGGAUC